rnacentral:rRNA from 1 species
UACGUAGGGGCCGAGCGUUGUCCGGAGUUACUGGGCGUAAAGCGCGCGCAGGCGGCUCUUCAAGCCUGACGUGAAAUCCCCCGGCUCAACCGGGGAGGGUCGUCGGGGACUGGCGGGCUUGAGGUCGGCAGGGGUUGGUGGAAUUCCCGGUGUAGUGGUGAAAUGCGUAGAGAUCGGGAGGAACACCCGUGGCGAAGGCGGCGAACUGGGCCGGAACUGACGCUGAGGCGCGAAGGCGUGGGGAGCGAACGGG